AUAAUUACAUAUAUUGAAAAUGUUUAUUAAAAGGUUUUCCAAAAAUAUUGAAUCAUUUGGAAAGCGUAUCCACCAAAAUGAAAUGAAGGCCUUAGUUUGCAAGAUAAGAGAGAAUCGUCACAUACUCCUCUGAGGUUAUCACCAGAAGUCAUUUCCCCCCACGUUUCCUUUAGUUCAUCGUACUCUUCUAUUAACUACAGUGGGAACAAUGGGAGGUUCCUUGUAUUUGGACUGAAUCCAUUCAACUGGCCUUUAAAGUGACGGGGAGACAAAUACAAACAUUUACUUUAUUUGACAACUUUAAUUAAAGAGGCAUUAAAUGUUAAUUGUAGUUACACAAGUAGUGUGAUGUGAGAAGUGAGCCA